GAUGAACGCUGGCGGCGUGCUUAAUACAUGCAAGUCGAACGAAUGGAUGUCUAGCUUGCUAGACUGAAGUUAGUGGCGAACGGGUGAGUAAUACAUAGGCAAUCUGCCCUGAAGUGUGGGAUAGCUAUUGGAAACGAUAAUUAAUACCGCAUAGGUAGUAGGAAGGCAUCUUCCUACUAUUAAAGAUGCGUCUGCAUCGCUGCAGGAUGAGCUUAUGGUGUAUUAGCUAGUUGGUGAGAUAAAAGCCCACCAAGGCUAUGAUACAUAGCUGGGUCUGAGAGGAUGAACAGCCACAUUGGGACUGAGACACGGCCCAGACUCCUACGGGAGGCAGCAGUAAGGAAUUUUCGGGCAAUGGGGGCAACCCUGACCGAGCAACGCCGCGUGAGUGAUGAAGGUCUUCGGGAUCGUAAAACUCUGUUGUAAAAGGAAGAAAUGUCAUAUAUAGGGAAAAUG
rnacentral:rRNA from 1 species